ensembl:misc_RNA Metazoa_SRP Metazoan signal recognition particle RNA
GCUGGGCGUGGUGGCUCACGCCUGUAAUCCCAGCACUUUGGGAGGCCGAGGUGGGUGGAUCACUUGAGGUCAGGAGUUCGAGACCAGCCUGACCAAUAUGGUGAAACCCCAUCUCUA